CAGUAAGUGUUCAAUGGCACUUUAAAAUCCAUUACCCACCUUGUGUGCAAUGUAAGGAGGAGGGGGUUUUGUCAGACUUUUUUGGUCUGGUUUCCCCUCUUUCAUUAUACAUACCAAAUCUUCUCUUGUUGUCUACUUUUUGAGUAUAAAAAAACUCGAAUA
rnacentral:misc_RNA from 1 species